ensembl:lncRNA
AUUGAUUAAUAAUCAUGAAUAAUGUAACAGCAACUACUAAUUAGUGAUUGAUUAGGGGCUAAUUAGUGUUCGAUUGAGGGCUUAUUAGUGAUUAAUUCGGGGCUAAUUAGUGAUCGAUUAGGGACUAAUUAAUGAUUGAUUAGGGGCUAAUUAGGCACUAAUUAGUGAUUGAUGAGAGAUUAAUUAGUGAUCUAAUAGAGAUUAUUAGAGAUUGAUUAGGGACUAAUUAGUGAUUGAUUAGAGGCUAACGUGUGAUUGAUAAAGGGCUAAUUAGUGAUUGAUUAGGGACUAAUUAGUGAUUGAUUAGAGGCUAAUGAGUGAUUGAUUAGGGACUAAUUAGUGAUUGAUUGGGGACUAAUUAGUGAUUGAUUAGAGGCUAACGUGUGAUUGAUAAAGGGCUAAUUAGUGAUUGAUUAGGGACUAAUUAGUGAUUGAUUAGAGGCUAAUGAGUGAUUGAUUAGGGGCUAAUUAGUGAUCGAUUAGGGACUAAUUAGUGAUUGAUUAGCGGCUAAUUAGUGAUUGAUUCGGGGCUGAGCCUUUCCCGCCCUUUCUGUUCCAGAGCAGCUCCAGGCCCAGCUCGGUGAGUGGGACACGCCCCCUGGCCGUAUGCAAAUGAGGUGCCACCCUUCAUUAGCAAUAAUUACCGGUCAUUAGCAAUAAUUAGCGGUCAUUAGCGAUAAUUAGCGAUAAUUAGCGCUAAUUAGCGCUGCUUCCCGCAGAGUUCCAACGGGCUCGGAGCCACGCAGUCUCGCUGACGCUGGAUGAGCGCUGCACGCACCCGGCCCUCCUGAUCCAGGGCCGAUCCCGGAUCCUCCACCCCGAUCCCGGAUCCCAAAUCCCCAGCCCCGAUCCUGGAUCCCAAAUCCCCAGCCCCGAUCCUGGAUCCCAAAUCCUCCACCCCGAUCCCGGAUCCCAAAUCCUCCACCCCGAUCCCGGAUCCCAAAUCCUCCAUCCCAAUCCCGGAUCCCAAAUCCUCCAUCCCGAUCCCGGAUCCCAGGUCCCUGUCCCUGAUCCCGGAUCCCAGAUCCCCGUCCCCGAUUCCAGAUCCCAAAUCCCCGUCCCCGAUCCCGGAUCCCAGAUCCCCGUCCCUGAUCCCGGAUCCUGGCCGUGCCUCGGGGCCCUGGCCGUGGCUCGGGAGGGAUUUUCCCACGGGAAGCACUACUGGGAAGUGGAGCUGGGGGACAGCACUGACUGGGAGCUGGGCGUGCUCCGGGAGGAGGUCCGGGAUUCCAUCCGGGAUUUCCUGCGGAAUUCCCUGAGGGAUCCCAUCCCGGAUCCCAUCCCAGAUUCUCUGCAGGAUCCCCUGCGGAAUUCCACCCCAAAUUCCAUCCCGGAUCCCAUCCCUGAUUCCCUGCGGGUUCCCAUCCUGGAUCCCACCCCAAAUUCCAUCCCAGAUCCCAUCCCCGAUUCCCUGCAGGAUUCCCUGAGGGAUUUCCUUCAGGAUCCCAUCCUGGAUCCCCUGCAGGAUCCCACCCUGGAUCCCAUCCCAAAUCCUACCCCAGAUUCCAUCCCGGAUCCCAUCCCAGAUCCUGUCCCCAAUUCCCUGUGGGAUCCCACCCCAGAUCCCACCCGUCCAUCCCUUUGGGGCNNNNNNNNNNNNNNNNNNNNGCUCCGGUUGCGGUCCCGGUUCCUGCUCCGGUUGCGGUCCCGGUUCCGGUUCCGGUUGCUGCCGCGUGCUCGGGGUGCUGCUGGACCAGGAGCGGCUCCAGCUCCGCUUCUUCGACGCCGAGGAGCAGCGGCCGCUGGGAUCCGUGUCCCUGAGCGCUCCCGGGAAUCUCUUCCCGUUCUUCCGGCCGGGACCUGGCGGGAACGCUCUGGGGAUCCGCCCCGUCAGGGCUUGAGAGCACGGCGAGGGACCUGGGAAUAUUCCAGAUUAAUUAUUGAAUUU